rnacentral:lncRNA from 1 species
ACCUCUAUGCAAUUCCCAGCCUAGUGGGGGAGGUAGAAAUGUAAUCAGAUAAUUAGGCUACAGCAUCAAAAGUGCCAUAUUAGAUGGAUGUACCAGGAGCCCAGUGGAAGGAGAGGCCAGUGCUUCUUGGGAUGAAGCCUUUCCACACUAAUAUCUCCUUUCUGUUACCUCUCUCCCCCUCCCCACUUCCUGCCCCCAGUGAGGACAUU